CACAUGUCAAGGCCGCCAUUAUCUCAGCAGAAACUUCGCGGGAAAGUCAACAAAAAGUUAUAAAAACAGGAAAUCAUUGACCGAUCUGUAUGUCCUGGUACAGAUAGUGAUGUUUUAUACCAGAACUGCUCCCACGCCCUCGGUAAUGAUUCUCUUGGAUAUUGAGGGGUUGCCUUUCUGAUAUAGGAGCUGUACGUAUUCAAUGGCAGGAAAUGUCCAAGUUUGUUGUCCAUCUGAUGUGAAUUCCACUUGUGUGUUGAGAAGAGCCAUGUCUGGAUUUCUGAAUAAAUGUUUUGAACUUGG